GGAAGAUGUGGGUACACUGAUUACCCUCAGGGCUUGGAUCCAUGGUGCAAUUUAUGCAAAUGCAAACCUGGUUUAAAAGGUUCCUGUCCUGCCUGUUAGCCCUUUCCCCACCCUCAUCGUUCCUUCCCACCCCAGUGUGCUUUAUGUAGCUCUUCCUUGGAUCACGCUCCAACUCAGAAGAGUGAUGUGGUUCAGGUUAAACCCAAACUGGGAAGUUUAAGGUGAUAUUUUAAGAUCUUUUUUUGAAAGUGUGCUUAGACCAAAGAGGCUCUGCUCUGAAUCUGUGGGCAAAGCUGGAAUGACAAGCAGGCAAUGUCCAACCUGCUCUGCACAUGUCUCCACAUACCAAGGGAAAAGAUGCUUUAACUGCAUUUUCAGUGCUGCCCUGUUUGAAUGGAAGACAAAGCAGUGUGAGAGCAGAGGGAAUGCAUUAUUUAUUGUGCUGGUACCACGAGGGGCAGGGAAGGCACAUACCCAGAGGAGAAGAGGCGAAGCUCCCAUUGCGUUUACUGUCGUAACUAAGCACGAGGGCCUGGUUCUGAUCUUACUCAUGUUGGUAUAAAUCACGACCACCACAGGCUGUGGAUGCGUGCCCUCUUCUUGAUGAAGCGAUGCCAGCACAGCAGCUGGCUCUUCUCUGCUGUUCCCUUGCUGCAGGUUCCCUCUUUGCUGGCUGCUGGCAAUAAGCUGAGCCCGCUGGGUGCUGCGGGCACACAUCCUGCAGUGCCCCGUGCCUGAGGGAGUACUGAGAAGGAAGCCAGGAACCUGUGAAAUGCACGCUGAGUUUGCCAUGCCAGGCGUGGGGCUUCACUUUAAAGGAAAUUCAGAGCUCAGGCCUCAAAAAACAGCCUUGAAAAAAUCUGUGCUUAAAAAAUAAUCCUAGGAUAGGGGUGUGCUGUUGGUGCUCCCAUUGGCUGAUGGUCCCAUCUGUGUGUGACCCCCCCAGCCCGCUCUCCCUCUGCUUCCUCCAUGUUGUCUUGCCACCUUGUCCAUGCUUGCAGUCAGUUUUUUGCCAUCAUGAAAUAAUUCAAAUCACUGGAGCAGCAGGAAAAAACAUCCCUUUCUCAGGCCCCCAGCCUCCUGACAUCCACCGCAGGCCCCGUUUCAGUGACUGCGAGCACCUCCCAGCAAGACCAGUGACCUGGGGGCAGGAGAGUCCUGGAUGUCCAUGGGCAUCCAAUGCCCUGCCCAGGCCAUGGAAACCUUCAGGCUCCAUCUGA
rnacentral:lncRNA from 1 species